rnacentral:rRNA from 1 species
UGGGGAAUAUUGCACAAUGGGCGCAAGCCUGAUGCAGCCAUGCCGCGUGUAUGAAGAAGGCCUUCGGGUUGUAAAGUACUUUCAGUCGGGAGGAAGGUGGUAAGGUUAAUAACCUUAUCAAUUGACGUUACCGACAGAAGAAGCACCGGCUAACUCCGUGCCAGCAGCCGCGGUAAUACGGAGGGUGCAAGCGUUAAUCGGAAUUACUGGGCGUAAAGCGCACGCAGGCGGUUGAUUGAGUCAGAUGUGAAAUCCCCGGGCUUAACCCGGGAAAUGCAUCUGAUACUGGUCAGCUAGAGUCUUGUAGAGGGGGGUAGAAUUCCAUGUGUAGCGAGGAAAUGCGUAGAGAUGUGGAGGAAUACCGGUUGCGAAGGCGGCCCCCUGGACGAAGACUGACGCUCAGGUGCGAAAGCGUGGGGAGCAAACAGG